rnacentral:lncRNA from 1 species
AUCGCUUAAAGGAUGCCAGCGGUAUUGAUAGAGAAAACAGGACCUUUUAUAGGAUUUGACUACAUUCUUACGAAGUUGUAGCUUUGGCUUAAGUGCGUCUUUAGGCCUGUGACCUUCAGAACUUUCUUUUUUUACAUUUUAAGUAUUUAUUUUUAUUUUUAUUUUGAGACAGGGUUUCUCUCGGUAGCCCUGGCUGUCUUGGAGUGCUCGCUAUAGACCAGGCUGGCCUUGAGCUCAGAGAUCAGCUUGCCUCUGCCUCCCCAGCACUGGAAACAGCUGAGCAGGAAGUGACUGAAUAGCCACUGCCUGGCCAGGGUUGGGGCAGAGACAGGGAGGUCUGCUUGCUCAGAGCAACAGGACAGCAGGCUGUCCACUGAUCAGGAAUGCCUGCCCUGCCCAGCCCUGAAGGGGUGCCACCUGGACAAGUGAGUUUUGUCACCGCACUGCGGAGCCUGAAGUUACACAAGAAGCAAGACAAGGUCUCCCAUGGUUGGAAGGACCCCAAAUGAUGUCUCUAUACCCAACUCUGUGGGAAGAUCGGUUUCCCAGCCAGAGUCCAUCCCUCUCCUUCUGUGCAGGUGGUCUCGGAUUAAUGAUGCUAAGAUCAACCUCCUAUGGGGCUUCGAGCCCCCUUCCUCUACCCCCCCCCCCGUGCUGCUGAGAACCAGGUGGGCAGACAGGAAUGC